GACGAACGCUGGCGGCGUGCUUAACACAUGCAAGUCACGGGGGCCCGCAAGGGUAACCGGCGAACGGGUGCGUAACACGUGAGCAACCUGCCUUUGUGUGGGGGAUAGCCGGGCUAACGCCCGGGUAAUACCGCAUACGGUUCUCGAGGGGAGUCCCUUGGGAAAGAAACCUCCGGGGCACAAAGAGGGGCUCGCGGCCUAUCAGCUAGUUGGCGGGGUAAUGGCCCACCAAGGCAUCGACGGGUAGCUGGUCUGAGAGGAUGGCCAGCCACAUUGGGACUGAGAUACGGCCCAGACUCCUACGGGAGGCAGCAGUGGGGAAUAUUGCGCAAUGGCCGCAAGGCUGACGCAGCGACGCCGCGUGUGGGAUGACGCCUUU
rnacentral:rRNA from 1 species